rnacentral:rRNA from 1 species
AUUAAAUCAGUUAUCGUUUAUUUGAUAGUACCUUACUACAUGGAUACCUGUGGUAAUUCUAGAGCUAAUACAUGCUAAAAACCCCGACUUCGGGAGGGGUGUAUUUAUUAGAUAAAAAACCAAUGCCCUUCGGGGCUCCUUGGUGAAUCAUAAUAACUUAACGAAUCGCAUGGCCUUGCGCCGGCGAUGGUUCAUUCAAAUUUCUGCCCUAUCAACUUUCGAUGGUAGGAUAGUGGCCUACCAUGGUAGCAACGGGUAACGGGGAAUUAGGGUUCUAUUCCGGAGAGGGAGCCUGAGAAACGGCUACCACAUCCAAGGAAGGCAGCAGGCGCGCAAAUUACCCAAUCCCGAUACGGGGAGGUAGUGACAAUAAAUACUGAUACAGGGCUCUUUUGGGUCUUGUAAUUGGAAUGAGUACAAUUUAAAUCCCUUAACGAGGAACAAUUGGAGGGCAAGUCUGGUGCCAGCAGCCGCGGUAAUUCCAGCUCCAAUAGCGUAUAUUAAAGUUGUUGCAGUUAAAAAGCUCGUAGUUGAACCUUGGGCCUGGCUGGCCGGUCCGCCUCACCGCGUGUACUGGUCCGGCCGGGCCUUUCCUUCUGGGGAGCCGCAUGCCCUUCACUGGGCGUGUCGGGGAACCAGGACUUUUACUGUGAAAAA